rnacentral:rRNA from 1 species
UACGAAGGGGGCGAGCGUUGUUCGGAUUUACUGGGCGUAAAGGGCGCGUAGGCGGUUCGUUAAGUCCUGUGUGAAAUCCCCCGGCUCAACUGGGGAACUGCACAGGAAACUAGCGGGCUUGAGUUCGGGAGAGGGAAGCGGAAUUCCGGGUGUAGCGGUGAAAUGCGUAGAUAUCCGGAGGAACACCGGUGGCGAAGGCGGCUCCUGGACCGACACUGACGCUGAGGCGCGAAAGCUAGGGAGCAACGGAUA